CAUCUCUCUCCUCUGAGUCCUUUCCUUUACACGUUUGCUUUUCUUCUCCUUUUUCCCGUCACGUUUCCGAGCUUCGUGGCACAUUUUCCAGAAAAGCAUUUCCAAGGAAGGGUCUCUGAUUUGAUCAUUGAAACCGAGACAAA